rnacentral:lncRNA from 1 species
GCAGGGAGAAGCUGCUGGCCUGCUGUGCCAGGCGGACCAUGUACUAGAGUUAGCUGUUUAUGGAGCAUCUUCUCUAUGGAGCCUUGGUGUCCUUAGCUGUAAAAUGUCAAGAACAGCAUCACUCGCUGGACUGGUGUAAGGACUGGAGAGACCAGCCCCCCAGUCUGUGGUGCUCGCCACGGCAGCCCUGGCACGCUGAUCCAAGAGGUGAGAGGAAGAUGAGGGUGCGGUAUCCCAGAGGGUGGGAGAUGAGAACGCUUCAAGCAGGAGGGGUUGUCCAUGUUCUUAUAGGCACUGGGAGCUGAAGGGAGAGGAAGAGCAAGCUGCGCCCCUUGGAAGGACCUGCAGAGAAUGAUCCCGGUGGAGUGUGGUCAGGGCGGAAGCCAGAUCUCCAGGGUUGAGGGUUGGUAAGACUCCCACUGACGGCCAGUGUAGAUGAUUCUUGGAAGAAAUUUAGUUGUGAGUUGGGCAGAG